UCACCAGCUUGACAUCGUCUAAAAGGUCAUUUAACAGGUGCUGCAUGGCUGUCGUCAGCUCGUGUCGUGAGAUGUUGGGUUAAGUCCCGCAACGAGCGCAACCAUGCCUAUGUUGCCACUUCGGAAGACUCUUAGGGACUGCCUGGGAUAACAGGAGGAAGGUGGAGAUGACGUCAAGUCAGUACGGCCCUUAUGCUGGGCUACACACGUGUUACAAUGGGGUACAAGGGGCACCGCGAGGGGAGCAAUCUCAAACCUCCCCAGUUCGGAUAACAGUCUGCAAUUCGACUGUUUGAAGCCGGAAUCGCUAGUAAUGGGAAUCAGUCGUCCCGUGAAUACGUUCCCGGGUCUUGUACACACCGCCCGUCAAGCGAUGGAAGCCGGGGACCGAA
rnacentral:rRNA from 1 species